rnacentral:rRNA from 1 species
CCUACGGGAGGCAGCAGUGAGGAAUAUUGGUCAAUGGACGAGAGUCUGAACCAGCCAAGUAGCGUGAAGGAUGACUGCCCUAUGGGUUGUAAACUUCUUUUAUAUGGGAAUAAACUGUGCCACGUGUGGCUUUUUGUAUGUACUUUAUGAAUAAGGAUCGGCUAACUCCGUGCCAGCAGCCGCGGUAAUACGGAGGAUCCGAGCGUUAUCCGGAUUUAUUGGGUUUAAAGGGAGCGUAGGUGGAUUGUUAAGUCAGUUGUGAAAGUUUGCGGCUCAACCGUAAAAUUGCAGUUGAAACUGGCAGUCGUGAGUACAGUAGAGGUGGGCGGAAUUCGUGGUGUAGCGGUGAAAUGCUUAGAUAUCACGAAGAACUCCGAUUGCGAAGGCAGCUUACUGGACUGCAACUGACACUGAGGCUCGAAAGUGUGGGUAUCAAACAGGAUUAGAUACCCGUGUAGUC